UACGGAGGGGGCUAGCGUUGUUCGGAAUUACUGGGCGUAAAGCGCGCGUAGGCGGCUUUGUAAGUUAGAGGUGAAAGCCCGGAGCUCAACUCCGGAACUGCCUUUAAGACUGCAUCGCUAGAAUCGUGGAGAGGUGAGUGGAAUUCCGAGUGUAGAGGUGAAAUUCGUAGAUAUUCGCAAGAACACCAGUGGCGAAGGCGGCUCACUGGCCCGGUACUGACGCUGAGGUGGCGAAAAGCGUGG
rnacentral:rRNA from 1 species